GCAGAAAAAAACGGUAACACUGUGCCUGGUCCUGAAGAACGUCUUUUUUUUUGCAAAAUUGUAACCUUGGUCGGAAAAGAAUAACUUUUCCAGACAAAAAUGGAAGUUAUGAAGAUCUCACAAAUCAUUUAUUUUCAAGUUAUCCAGCACUAAAAUCAGCAGGAGGGUUUGAAAUAUUGAGGAGCUUUAGGUGCAAAACUUUACACCCUAUUCCAAUACCAGCCAGUGGGUACAGUGUCAGAUUUCUUCAAGCUGAAAGUAGCCUCAACCAAGCAGUGGCAUAUAUAAGACCACUUCAGACUAACCUAGACACCAACAGUGGCUGUGAACAAGAGAUUCAAGAAGUGGCUUUAGAGAAAUGCCAGACAUGUGAACAAAUGAUUUCUCUGCAAUCAGUUUGUCAACAUAUAAGACAGUGCACAAGUGGGAAUUUGUGGAGUAACACUUGAAGAAAUCCUUAUAUUUCCAACGGGAAGUGACUGUAUACCAGCACAAGGAUUUAGCCCAUAUCCCACUCUGGAAUUUCUUCAUGAUGACUCCAAGUGCCCACAAGCAAACACUUGCUCUUGUACUUUAUAAAUUCCAUGCAAGAGUUCCUACAACUCUUUCAAAGAGGACAUGGACUUUGGGAUAAAAAAUUUACCUGGGUUUGGUAUGCCCUAAUUUAUACCUUUUGGUAUAAAUGUUUAGGUAUAGAAACCAUGUUUCAAAACAGGAAAGGCAUUUUAUAGUGUUUUAUUCUAGAGUUCAGUUUU